AUGCUCACUGUCCAAGUUUUCAUUGGGGGUAGAUCAACUGCACUAUUAUUACCCCAAAUUGUCACGCCCUGCUUCACCUGUUUCCUUGUGAUUGUCUCCACCCUCUCCAGGUGUCGCUUAUUUUCCCCAGUGUAUUUAUCCCUGUGUUUCCUGUCUCUCUGUACCAGUGUAUUUAUCCCUGUGGUUCCUGUCUCUCUGUACCAGUGUAUUUAUCCCUGUGUUUCCUGUCUCUCUGUACCAGUGUAUUUAUCCCUGUGUUUCCUGUCUCUCUGUACCAGUGUAUUUAUCCCUGUGUUUCCUGUCUCUCUGUACCAGUGUAUUUAUCCCUGUGUUUCCUGUCUCUCUGUACCAGUGUAUUUAUCCCUGUGUUUCCUGUCUCUCUGUACCAGUGUAUUUAUCCCUGUGUUUCCUGUCUCUCUGUACCAGUGUAUUUAUCCCUGUGUUUCCUGUCUCUCUGUACCAGUGUAUUUAUCCCUGUGUUUCCUGUCUCUCUGUGCCAGUGUAUUUAUCCCUGUGUUUCCUGUCUCUCUGUACCAGUGUAUUUAUCCCUGUGUUUCCUGUCUCUCUGUACCAGUGUAUUUAUCCCUGUGUUUCCUGUCUCUCUGUGCCAGUGUAUUUUUCCCUGUGUUUCCUGUCUCUCUGUGCCAGUGUAUUUAUCCCUGUGUUUCCUGUCUCUCUGUACCAGUGUAUUUAUCCCUGUGUUUCCUGUCUCUCUGUACCAGUGUAUUUAUCCCUGUGUUUCCUGUCUCUCUGUACCAGUGUAUUUAUCCCUGUGUUUCCUGUCUCUCUGUACCAGUGUAUUUAUCCCUGUGUUUCCUGUCUCUCUGUACCAGUGCAUUUAUCCCUGUGUUUCCUGUCUCUCUGUGCCAGUGCAUUUAUCCCUGUGUUUCCUGUCUCUCUGUACCAGUGUAUUUAUCCCUGUGUUUCCUGUCUCUCUGUACCAGUGUAUUUAUCCCUGUGUUUCCUGUCUCUCUGUACCAGUGUAUUUAUCCCUGUGUUUCCUGUCUCUCUGUACCAGUGUAUUUAUCCCUGUGUUUCCUGUCUCUCUGUACCAGUGUAUUUAUCCCUGUGUUUCCUGUCUCUCUGUACCAGUGUAUUUAUCCCUGUGUUUCCUGUCUCUCUGUACCAGUGUAUUUAUCCCUGUGUUUCCUGUCUCUCUGUACCAGUGUAUUUAUCCCUGUGUUUCCUGUCUCUCUGUACCAGUGUAUUUAUCCCUGUGGUUCCUGUCUCUCUGUGCCAGUGUAUUUUUCCCUGUGUUUCCUGUCUCUCUGUACCAGUUCGUUUUGUAUGUUUAAGUCAAGUCAACCAGUCUGUUUUUCCCCCGUACUCCUGUUGCAAUUCUCCUUUUUCUAG
rnacentral:lncRNA from 1 species